rnacentral:rRNA from 1 species
CCCCUAGAUGUUCUGGGCCGCACGCGCGCUACACUGAACAGUUCAACAAGUCUUAACCUUGGCCGAUAGGUCUGGGUAAUCUUUGAACGCUGUUCGUGAUUGGGAUAGACUUUUGCAAUUUUUGGUCUUCAACGAGGAAUUCCUAGUAAACGCAAGUCAUCAACUUGCAUUGAUUACGUCCCUGCCCUUUGUACACACCGCCCGUCGCACCUACCGAUUGAAUGGUCCGGUGAAGCCUCCGGAUUGGCGCGCACCUCGGUGCCGCCGAGAAGUUGGCUAAACCUUACCAUUUAGAGGAAGGUGAAGUCGUAACA